rnacentral:rRNA from 1 species
AUAGAAUUUUAUUUUUUAGUUAAAAAGCUAAAAUUUAAUUAAAAGACGAGAAGACCCUAUAAAUCUUUAUAUUUUUUUAUUUUAAUUUUAAAGAUUAUUUUAAUUUUAAUAAAUUAAAAUAUUUUAUUGGGGUGAUAUUAAAAUUUAAAAACUUUUAAUUUAUAAAACCAUUAAUUUAUGAAUAAUUGAUCCAUUAAUGAUGAUUAAAAAUUUAAGUUACUUUAGGGAUAACAGCGUAAUUUUUUUGGAGAGUUCAUAUCGAUAAAAAAGAUUGCGACCUCGAUGUUGGAUUAAGAUAUAAUUUUGGGUGUAGCUGUUCAAAUUUUAAGUCUGUUCGACUUUUAAAUUCUUACAUGAUCUGAGUUCAAACCGGCGUAAGCCAGGUUGGUUUCUAUCUUUAAUAAAUUGUAAUAUUUUAGUACGAAAGGACCAAAUAUUAAAAUAAUUAUAUUUUUUAAAAGAAUAUUAUUAAUAAUAA